GGUUUCUCCCUGCAACAAUCUCCUGAUGCUGCCUGAGUGUUUUUCUUCCACUCCAGCAUCAGUGAUUUUGUUGCCGGAGGUC
rnacentral:pre_miRNA from 8 species